GGGAAUCUCAAAUAAAAAUAUUAGGGCGGGGACCGAAAAUGGAGAUGAUAUUGUGAUUCCCAUCCCAAUCCGCCCCAUUGCCAUUUCUACUGCUAGAAAAGUAGAAAGUGGUUUUAUUUUUGCGGUAAAUAACUUUUAUUUGUCUUAGGAUGAACUCUGUCCGAUCACCUGUAUUCUCUGCACAACCGUCUCCUCGCCACGUCUUCAUCGAUCUCCAACCUCGGCGCCGGCGUUCUCCUCCUCCACGGCUCCACAUAUCAGGUGUUAUGAGGGGAAGCUGCUACUUGAAAGUUGAAAGAGGCCCAGAGAAUAUAUCUUCCCUGUUUUGUGUCAACGGGACUACAAUUUGAUCAUCUGAUAUCAAUGUUUACAUACACACAUACGUCACACGCUAAGAGUGCUUCUCAUCCAGUUUGCGCAUACACCUUCCCUAAGUAGUUCAUGCAGAUGUGGGUCAUAUUAGAAAGCGCCACACACUGGAGAUCAAGAUAUUGUAAGACUCAUUUGAAACUCAUUUCAUACAAGAUAGAGAGGAAGAAAUCUGAAAAGUAGAGGUGGUGGACCACGUGUUUGGAGACCAAUCUUGAAGUGAAGAAAGCAAAUGGGUAUGGGUAGCAAAUCUUAGCCUUCCAUGCAGUUCCACUCUCUUUAAGUAAAAGGAAUGCUUUCAGUCUUUCAGUAAGUUUAAUUUGGAAUAAGAAUCGCGGCGGACCGACGCUGGUUAUGCAGAAUGAGCUGGAGAACCUGGUAUGUCACAAAAGUGCCAGAUAGGUUCUAUUGAGCAGCUGCAACUUAAUUCUGAAUUCAAAUUAACUUUAUUCUAGUCUGUGCCUUUUUCUAGGCCAGUAAAUAGUAGUUCUUUUUUAUGCCGCCUUUGUUUACUGCAAAUUAAUAUAUAGGCAUGUUUGGUUCGCCGGAUUUAGCUUUUGUGAAAGGAAUGCAACCCCUUGGGCUGAAGGGAUUUGUUUUCGCUC